GAUGAACGCUAGCGGCAGGCCUAAUACAUGCAAGUCGAACGGGAUCUGAGGGUAGCUUGCUACCCGAUUUGAGAGUGGGGCACGGGUGCGUAACGCGUGAGCAACCUACCCAUAUCAGGGGGAUAGCCCGAAGAAAUUCGGAUUAACACGGCAUAAUAAUACGCUAACACAUGUUGAUGUAUUUAAAUAUUUAUAGGACAUGGAUGGGCUCGCGUUACAUUAGCUAGUUGGUAAGGUAACGGCUUACCAAGGAGACGAUGUCUAGGGGCUCUGAGAGGAGAAUCCCCCACACUGGUACUGAGACACGGACCAGACUCCUACGGGAGGCAGCAGUAAGGAAUAUUGGUCAAUGGGCGCAAGCCUGAACCAGCCAUGCCGCGUGCAGGAUGACUGCCCUAUGGGUUGUAAACUGCUUUUGUUAGGGAAUAAACCUUCUUACGUGUAAGGAGCUGAAAGUACCUAAAGAAUAAGGAUCGGCUAACUCCGUGCCAGCCGCCGCCGUAA
rnacentral:rRNA from 1 species